rnacentral:rRNA from 1 species
UUUUGGACAAUGGGCGCAAGCCUGAUCCAGCAAUGCCGCGUGAGUGAAGAAGGCCUUCGGGUUGUAAAGCUCUUUUGUCAGGGAAGAAACGGUGAGCUCUAAUACAGUUUGCUAAUGACGGUACCUGAAGAAUAAGCACCGGCUAACUACGUGCCAGCAGCCGCGGUAAUACGUAGGGUGCAAGUGUUAAUCGGAAUUACUGGGCGUAAAGCGUGCGCAGGCGGUUAUGUAAGUCAGAUGUGAAAUCCCCGGGCUCAACCUGGGAAUGGCAUUUGAGACUGCAUGGCUAGAGUGUGUCAGAGGGGGGUAGAAUUCCACGUGUAGCAGUGAAAUGCGUAGAGAUGUGGAGGAAUACCGAUGGCGAAGGCAGCCCCCUGGGAUAACACUGACGCUCAUGCACGAAA